AAGCAAAGAAGAAAUCAACAGCGUUUGGAAGACAGCACUGUCUCGCUGCUGUGGCAGGGAUACGAUGGAACAGAAGAAGCAAUUGUGGGAUGCAGUGCAGAAGGGCGACUGGGGCAAGGGUAACACAAAGCCUUGAGGACAAGAACCAGGAGUAAAGCUGACUGGCGCUGAUGUACUAAUUAGUGCACUAGCAGUGGUGGCUGGAAACCAAGUGAGUUUGAAAGAAAAAUACAAAGGCCGGAUGAGAAAAGGCACUGAAAGAGACUGCAACAGCAGUUGCAGUAUGACUGGCACAUGUGCAGGUAGGAACUGCUGCAGGUCCUGCUGAAUGCAGUGCUCCCCCUGCGGCACCCUCCUCCUGGUGGUUCCC
rnacentral:lncRNA from 1 species